GUGAGGAAUAUUGCGCAAUGGAGGCAACUCUGACGCAGCCAUGCCGCGUGCAGGAAGAAGGCGCUACGCGUUGUAAACUGCUUUUAACCGGGAAGAAACCCCAGGACGUGUCCUGGGUUGACGGUACCGGAGGAAUAAGCACCGGCUAACUUCGUGCCAGCAGCCGCGGUAAUACGAAGGGUGCAAGCGUUAUCCGGAUUCAUUGGGUUUAAAGGGUGCGUAGGCGGAGCGUUAAGUCAGUGGUGAAAUCCUGCAGCUUAACUGUAGACUUGCCAUUGAUACUGGCGCUCUUGAGUGCGCUUGAAGUGGGCGGAAUGUGCUGUGUAGUGGUGAAAUGCUUAGAUAUGGCACAGAACACCAAUUGCGAAGGCAGCUCACUAAGGCGAUACUGACGCUGAGGCACGAAAGCGUGGGGAUCGAACAGGAUUAGAUACCCUGGUAGUCC
rnacentral:rRNA from 1 species